CCCUUAGAUGUUCUGGGCCGCACGCGCGCUACACUGACGGAGGCAGCGAGCAUGUCCUUCGCCGAGAGGUGUGGGGAAUCUUGUGAGUCUCCGUCGUGCUGGGAAUAGAUGGUUGCAAUUGUCGAUCUUGAACGAGGAAUUCCUAGUAAGCGCGAGUCAUCAGCUCGCGCUGAUUACGUCCCUGCCCUUUGUACACACCGCCCGUCGCUCCUACAGAUUGAGCAGUCCGGUGAAUACUUCGGACCGUUUGCAUAGAUGGUUCGCCAUCUUUGCGAAUGGAAAGUCGAGUGAACCUUACUGCUUAGAUGAAGGAGAAGUCGUAACA
rnacentral:rRNA from 1 species